AACACAUGCAAGUCGAACGGCAGCACAGCCGUAGCAAUACGGUGGGUGGCGAGUGGCGGACGGGUGAGUAAUGCAUCGGGACCUACCUGAACGUGGGGGAUAACGUAGGGAAACUUACGCUAAUACCGCAUACGUCCUACGGGAGAAAGCGGGGGACCUUCGGGCCUCGCGCGGUCAGACGGACCGAUGUUCGAUUAGCUAGUUGGUAGGGUAAUGGCCUACCAAGGCGACGAUCGAUAGCUGGUCUGAGAGGAUGAUCAGCCACAUUGGAACUGAGACACGGUCCAGACUCCUACGGGAGGCAGCAGUGGGGAAUAUUGGACAAUGGGCGCAAGCCUGAUCCAGCAAUGCCGCGUGUGUGAAGAAGGCCUUCGGGUUGUAAAGCACUUUUAUCGGGAGCGAAAUACCAUUGGCUAAUAACCGAUGGGGCCGACGGUACCCGAGGAAUAAGCACCGGCUAACUUCGUGCCAGCAGCCGCGGUAAUACGAAGGGUGCAAGCGUUAAUCGGAAUUACUGGGCGUAAAGGGUGCGUAGGCGGUUAGUUAAGUCUGUCGUGAAAUCCCCGGGCUCAACCUGGGAAUGGCGAUGGAUACUGGCUAGCUAGAGUGUGUCAGAGGAUGGUGGAAUUUCCGGUGUAGCGGUGAAAUGCGUAGAGAUCGGAAGGAACAUCAGUGGCGAAGGCGGCCAUCUGGGACAACACUGACGCUGAAGCACGAAAGCGUGGGGAGCAAACAGGAUUAGAUACCCUGGUAGUCCACGCCCUAAACGAUGCGAACUGGAUGUUGGUCUCAACUCGGAGAUCAGUGUCGAAGCUAAC
rnacentral:rRNA from 1 species